rnacentral:tRNA from 1 species
GGGGGUAUAGCUCAAAGGUAGAGCACUUGCUUAUCUGUGCAAGGCCCUGGGCUCAAUUCCUAGUGCCACAA